UGGUUUGACAGAGGGGAGCAACACAAAGCUGGUCUUCGUCCAGGAACUGAAACACUAGCCUACAUUUGGUUUCAUCAAUCCAGGUUUCUGUCGUUUCAGACGGGCAGCACAGAAAACAGUCGACAUACGUAGACAGUUAGCGUGUCUGCCUCACAAGUCCAGAGCUGCCGCCUUUGAAACUCAGACGCCGAUUGGUCGAAUCUUCCUGUUGUGACCCGAGCCCGGUGGCAUCAUGCUGCUCCCAAGUUACAUCCAGGUGCACGCAGAGUGUAAAGACACGCUGUACCCGACUGCAAUCACAAAGCUCGAGGGGCAACGGGCUCCCCGCCAGGUGCACAAUACUGCCCCCAGUGGUCAUCUGAGCAUGUCUGCCACCUCUGCCAAUGCUCAUGCACUCCACUCGACUUCCACGCAGCCACUUGGGUCAAUACGUUGUCCCCGCCGACCCCCCCCCCCCCCCCCAUCACUGUCAAUGUCAAUGUCACCAGCACAUACGAUGUGAGCCCACCCUACUGCGAACCUCUCGCCAAGCCCGCCACCUCGGACGGGGUUGUCAAGCCCACGAUUGUUCCGUGAAGCCGAGUGGCCGAUCAAAGCCCAUCGCUGCAGGAGACCUCCUUGAAGCGGCCUCGUCCGGUCCGUGACCUAUAAGCAGUGCGGGACCCCUGUCGUCCUGGUCCCUACUUUUCGUAGCCCUCCACCCCUUCCCCUCAACCUGACCAGGAGCAGUGAGCCAGGCAAGCUUGUGAAUAAGCACAAGAAGAAUGAAUGACCGAGUGAAUGGGUGGUCCCUCUGCCACGGGAUUGGACUUGAUGGAACCGAAAGAAGCUCUCAUGCGGCGUCACCUCGAACAAUAACGUGCAAAAAGAGUUCAGAAUUCCCGGAAGGAUGUUUACUUCACUCCUGGUCUCUUUUUGUCAAAACGGAUUUCUUCAGUGUCCAAGUCAGCUUAUCUCUUCCGAGCUCAAAAUGGGAAGAAUGGCGUCGUCAAAGCUUUUAGUUUUUAUUUUUUUUGAAUGUGCACAUUCACUGUUACUCGGUUUCUCUCAGGGCCCCCCUUAUAGUUAUGUGUAAUCGUGUGCAUGCUAAGUAAUGUCUCGAACAAGGAAUGUUGCUGUGUUGAAGUGAUUUUAGCGGAAAGAAGAGGUUGACUUAUAAUGAAAUCCCAGAUGACGUUUGAAGGUCUAAAAAAAAAAAAAUGCCCUGGUAUUUAAAAAAAAAACAACAACAACAACAAAAACUCCUGUACACCCAAAUUGAGUUUCAUUUGCACCCCUGGCCUCCCUGAUGCAAACAAAAUGUGGUGUUAUGUUCUUCUAGUUUUCAUUAAUUGUAAUUUAUUUUGUAACGUAUUUAUAGGAUAAUCGAUGUCGUUUUCUCUAUGUUUAGAUUUUAUGACUUUUUUUUAGUUGAUGAAAGCAAUAUUAAGCCAAUU